UGACUUACAUUUGGUCUAGAUGUAGGAUUUUUUUUUCUUCUAAUUUCUGAAUUGUGAGCCUGCAAUACACUGUUGAGUAUUAUAUCUUACCCUGCUGGCCUUGAUUGAUUAGAUGGCUUUAUCCUAGAAAAAUGCUAAUUUUCUUCUUUAGCUGAAUAAUUGACAAACUGAAAUGCAGUGGAUCAAUUUUUGAGGUAGUUGAUGAUCCGAGAGAUAUUGAUGCAAUUUUAGUGAACUGCUUCUAAAAUUGAAGAAACAAAUGAAAAUGACUUUUAGCCACUUGGCAUUAUAAGAAGUGAUUCUUAAUUAUGACAAUCUGAGGUAGACUAAUUUGAGUUUUUGGUACCAAAUAUAUUGAUAUUUAUGCAGUUUUAGUGAACUGUUUCUGAAAAUGAAAAAAGAAAGCAAAGUGGCUUUUAAGCACAAAGUAUACUGAGAAAGGACUCUUUAACUAUCAAAAUCUGAACAAAUGAAGUUUUCUAGCUCCCAAAUUUGAGUACUAAGUUUCUGUUUAGGUAAACUCAAUAAGUACCUAUAAUAGAGAAAAAUAAGAAUGUAAAUGGAUUAUACUUCUUUCCAUAAGUGAAAAUCAGCUUAUGUAUAAGUUAAAAAUCAGCUUUUGGAAGAGCUAAAUAAAAGAGCUUACAGAUUUUUUAACUUAUGGAAGAAACUUACUUCAUUUUACUUUAUAAUUUUAUUCUCGUAUAAGCUUUUAUUGAGAAGUUUAUCCAAUAGAACUGAAGUGUUUGAUGCAGGAUAAACCCCUUCAUAGGUGAUUGCUCAACUAAUGGUUGUGGAACAGAUCUGUAUAAAUAAAAUGCCCUGAAAUUUGAAGCUAGAGAUAACAAAUGUACCAAAAAUAAUUGCUUGCAAGAAUUUAUGCCCUUAAUAGUUAAUAUUAGAUCUGAAGAUGAAAUUCCUUUGCCCUUCAAAUCCGCCUUUGGGAUUUUCUGUAGAAUGUUUCUUCCUGAGGCUAUAGCAUUAUAUUUUGCUUAAUGGGUAAUAAAAUGCUUCGAACACGUUCCUAGGAGCCUGGUUUUCAUGUUUUGUAAAGAUUUGUGCCAUAUUACUCGGGAAGCAUACAUAUUGUUGCAUUUGGGAAAGAAAGAGAGAAGAUUGAAAUUGACUGAGCAUUCUAACAACAUUUCCGUUUAUCAAACAAAUAUUUCCUUUCAUGAUCCUGCUAUUAAAGAGAAAACAAUCAUCUUUAUUGCCCUCAAUUUUUGAAUGUUACAGGCUGAGAUUGCUCGUCAAGAAGCAAGGCUGAAGAUGGAGAGAGACAAUCUUGAGAAAGAGAAAAGUGUCUUAAUGGGAACUGCGUCAAAUCAAGAUAACCAAGAUGGAGCCCUUGAAAUUACAGUAAGUGGUGAAAAAUACCGUUGCCUCAGAUUUGCCAAGGCAAAAAAGUAAGGCUUUGCUGGGGUCACAAAAAGGAAAAGUACGUUCUUCACUUCUCCCCUCCCCC